rnacentral:rRNA from 1 species
UACGGAGGGUGCAAGCGUUGUCCGGAUUUAUUGGGUUUAAAGGGUGCGUAGGCGGUCUUUUAAGUCAGUGGUGAAAUCCUCCAGCUCAACUGGAGAACUGCCAUUGAUACUGGAAGACUUGAGUAUAGUUGAGGUAGGCGGAAUUGACAGUGUAGCGGUGAAAUGCAUAGAUAUUGUCAAGAACCCCGAUUGCGAAGGCAGCUUACUAAACUAUAACUGACGCUGAGGCACGAAAGUGUGGGGAUCAAACAGG